AGUGAACGCUGGCGGUAGGCCUAACACAUGCAAGUCGAACGGCAGCACAGUAAGAGCUUGCUCUUACGGGUGGCGAGUGGCGGACGGGUGAGGAAUACAUCGGAAUCUACUUUUUCGUGGGGGAUAACGUAGGGAAACUUACGCUAAUACCGCAUACGACCUACGGGUGAAAGCAGGGGAUCUUCGGACCUUGCGCGAUUGAAUGAGCCGAUGUCGGAUUAGCUAGUUGGCGGGGUAAAGGCCCACCAAGGCGACGAUCCGUAGCUGGUCUGAGAGGAUGGUCGGCCACACUGGAACGUAGACACGGUCCAGACUCCUACGGGAGGCAGCAGUGGGGAAUGUUGGACAAUGGGGGCAAGCCUGAUCCAGCCAUACCGCGUGGGUGAAGAAGGCGUUCGGGUUGUAAAGCCCUUCUGUUGGGAAAGAAAAGCAGCAGGUUAAUACCCCGCUGUUCUGACGGUACCCAAAGAAUAAGCACCGGCUAACUUCGUG
rnacentral:rRNA from 1 species